rnacentral:misc_RNA from 1 species
CAAAGAUUUUCACCGACUUGAAUGAAAAAUAGCAAUAAAAAAGAAAAAUAUAUUGACAAGAAUAGUUCUUUCUCCUGCUGUCAACCAUUUUCUGAACCACUUUCCGCAACUACCAUAUAUAGCAAAAUUAAGCUAUAAAAUCUUCUCAUAAUACAUAAGUACUAAUAAUUAAAUAUUUUCACUUACAAUAUUAAAGAAAAACCCAAAAGAAAAGUGCAAGCUGUGGCGAUCAAUAUGAGUCUUGAUCUCGGAACACUGCUGGGCGCCGAUGACACUUCAGUCUUGUGAGGAGGCUUUCUAUAGUAGAAUGGGAAAUAAGGCAAGAUAGGGUCAGGAGGAGGAGGACCAUAGUAGUUGUUACCAGAAGGUGGUGAUGGGUAAUAUGGGAAAUUCCCUGUCGGCGUUGGGUAGUUUCCGGGUGGUGGGUAUGAUCCUGUCUGAGACGCCGGUGGUGGAGGUGUAGUGCCGGUGCCUGUGCCUGUGCCUGUAGGCGGAGGAUAACAUGGAUACGGACAUGUGUCAUCGGACAUGGUCAUGGUGGGAAGAUGGAGAAGUAUGGAGGUGAAGAAGACGGUGGAGAGGAUUAGGGUUAACUUAGUAGCCAUCUUGUUUGAGAGAGAGAGAGAGAGAG